CUAGCAGCGGGUUCUGUGCCCCCAGGGGUAGUCUGGCUGUCCAGGCACUGCUCUUGGUAUAAACACCACCUCCUAGUUGUGAAACGAUGCCCACUCUGCCUCUCUGUAUGGAGAAGAGCAUGGGGCUGGCCCAUGGGCUGGUGUCCACUUUAGGCCCUGUGGGAGACCAUGGGAACCCACACAGUGGGUCACAGGCUCCCUCAUUUACUACUCACAUCCACUCUGUGAAGAAGCGAUUAUGGUCUCUCCUCUAGAAACUCGUGGAGUCCCAGGUCUGCCGGCUUCCAGAGCCUGCACUCCUCCACCUUGGCUUGGGUUUGCUGGGGCUAGAGGAGCCAGGAUGCGCAGCAGCUCUGUGACCCUUUGUUUGAGAGGAACAGGAAAACCACCCUUCUCUCUGGCCCACUGUGUCCUCUUCCUGCCGUGCCAUCCCCUUCUGUGAAUGUUAGACCCAUGGGAGCAGCUGGCCAGAGGGGACCCCGGCCUGGGGGCCUUAACCCUAUGUAGUCUCGGUCUUCCCAUCAGGCUCUCAGCUUGGCCUGAGUGUUGAGGCCCCAGUGGCUGCUCUGGGGGCCUCCUGAGUUUCUCAUCUGUGCCCCUCCCUCCCUGGCCCAGGUGAAGGUGUGGUUCCAGAACCGGAGGACAAAGUACAAACGGCAGAAGCUGGAGGAGGAAGGGCCUGAGUCCGAGCAGAAGAAGAAGGGCUCCCAUCACAUCAACCGGUGGCGCAUCGCCACGAAGCAGGCCAAUGGGGAGGACAUCGAUGUCACCUCCAAUGACUAGGGUGGGCAACUACAAACCCACGAGGGCAGAGUGCUGCUUGCUGCUGGCCAGGCCCCUGCGUGGGCCCAAGCUGGACUCUGGCCACUCCCUGGCCAGGCUUCGGGGAGGCCUGGAGUCAUGGCCCCACAGGGCUUGAAGCCCGGGGCCGCCAUUGACAGAGGGACAAGCAAUGGGCUGGCUGAGGCCUGGGACCACUUGGCCUUCUCCUCGGAGAGCCUGCCUGCCUGGGCGGGCCCGCCCGCCACCGCAGCCUCCCAGCUGCUCUCCGUGUCUCCAAUCUCCCUUUUGUUUUGAUGCAUUUCUGUUUUAAUUUAUUUUCCAGGCACCACUGUAGUUUAGUGAUCCCCAGUGUCUCCCUUCCCUAUGGGAAUAAUAAAAGUCUCUCUCUUAAUGACACGGGCAUCCAGCUCCAGCCCCAGAGCCUGGGGUGGUAGAUUCCAGCUCUGAGGGCCAGUGGGGGCUGGUAGAGCAAACGCGUUCAGGGCCUGGGAGCCCGGGGUGGGGUACUGGUGGAGGGGGGCAAGGGUAAUUCAUUAACUCCUCUCUUUUGUUGGGGGACCCUGGUCUCUACCUCCAGCUCCACAGCAGGAGAAACAGGCUAGACGUAGGGAAGGGCCAUCCUGUAUCUUGAGGGAGGACAGGCCCAGGUCUUUCUUAACGUAUUGAGAGGUGGGAAUCAGGCCCAGGUAGUUCAGUGGGAGAGGGAGAGUGCUUCCCUCUGCCUAGAGACUCUGGUGGCUUCUCCAGUUGAGGAGAAACCAGAGGAAAGGGGAGGAUUGGAGUCUGGGGGAGGGAACACCAUUCACAAAGGCUGACGGUUCCAGACCGAAGUUGUGGGCCCACCAGGAUGCUCACCUGUCCUUGGAGAACCCCUGGGCAGGUUAAGACUGCAGAGACAGGGCUUAAGGCUGAGCCUGCAGCCAGUCCCCAGUGACUCAGGGCCUCCUCAGCCCGAGAAAGAGCAACGUGCCAGGGCCCGCUGAGCUCUUGUGUUCACCUGCCCUUCUGUCGCACUUGUCAGGAUGAAGGUUUCCUGACAAGCAAAUCUGCAUUCCUGUCUUUCCCUUAUGACAUCCAGACCCCUCUCUUUCUUCUUCACCUCCCAUGUGCUCAUGAAACCUCUGCUUUUUGGCCUUCAUGCCACCAUUCUGCUGGUGCUAAUGACAGUCACCAACCACAGUCACCGGCCACCCCCUUGUGGCCAAACUCAACCACUUCCUGUCGGGUUCACCUGCUCCCCAAUCUGUUGGCCAUGCCCUCCGGAUUCUCCCACCCCGCUCUGCCUUCAUUUUGGUAGCUCUGACUCCUCUUCCAGCCUGAGUUCAUUCAGUGUGAUCCAUGCCUUGUCACCUCUGGCCACCCCCAGGUCAGUCCUUGGUCUUCCUGACUCCUCAUUGUGCCCUUUGCCUUGUGGGGAUCACAUCCGCUUCCAGGACUUCUCUUUGGCUCCCUGGUCUGUGUCUUUAGCUGACCUCUGCUGAGCUGCAGACCCAUCAAGCCAGCUGCCUGCUCCACCCCCUGCCCCUCAGCACCUCAAAGCCCAUACAUCCACAGCCGGACUCACCUACCCAUCUGUGCUUCUCCAGGAUCACCCACCUCGACAAACAGCAUUAGACAUGUACACAGUUUCCCAAGCUCCAGGAAACCUGGGAAUCUUCCUCAAGCUUCCUCUCCUCUUCCCCAGCCCCAUCCAUUCCCAUCUAGUGGGUUGAGUCUGGACUGGCUUCCCAACCACACCUCCCUAGUGCAGCCCCCACCACCCCCCUGCCCAGCUCCCUCUGCCACCGGCCUGGCCCGGGCCCUGCUCCUCUAGGGAGGUUUCUGUGAAUGUCAAGGAUGAGGCCCACUUCAAAGGAGGCCCUCCAUGUUGCAGUUAGGUUUCUCUUCUUUGCACCCAAACAGGGCAGAGUCACCCCCUUCGGAGCCCCUUUACCCCAUCUUCUUGCCUUGCUCCCGGUACCCUUUGCUUCAGCAUCCCCAUCCCUGUCCCUGAGUGAGCCACAGGUUUUUCCUGCACUGUGCCUUCGCUCAUGCUGUUCUUCCCACCUGGAAUGUUGGGUGCUUGAUCAAUGUGGAACUCACUGGAAAGAUGUCAGAGACCCAGCCUUGC
rnacentral:sRNA from 1 species